rnacentral:rRNA from 1 species
AUUGAACGCUGGCGGCAUGCCUUACACAUGCAAGUCGAACGGCAGCGGGGACUUCGGUCCGCCGGCGAGUGGCGAACGGGUGAGUAAUGUAUCGGAACGUACCAUUCAGUGGGGGAUAACUAUCCGAAAGGAUAGCUAAUACCGCAUAUUCUGUGAGCAGGAAAGCAGGGGAUCGCAAGACCUUGCGCUGAUUGAGCGGCCGAUAUCAGAUUAGCUAGUUGGUGAGGUAAAGGCUCACCAAGGCGACGAUCUGUAGCGGGUCUGAGAGGAUGAUCCGCCAAACUGGAACUGAGACACGGUCCAGACUCCUACGGGAGGCAGCAGUGGGGAGUUUUGGACAAUGGGGGCAACCCUGAUCCAGCCAUGCCGCGUGAGUGAAGAAGGCCUUCGGGUUGUAAAGCUCUUUCGGCCGGGAAAAAAUCGCAUGGGUUAAUACCCUGUGUGGAUGAUGGUACCGGAAUAAGAAGCACCGGCUAACUACGUGCCAGCCGCCGCGGUAA